CCUACGGGCGGCAGCAGUGGGGAAUAUUGCACAAUGGGGGAAACCCUGAUGCAGCGACGCCGCGUGAGUGAAGAAGUAAUUCGUUAUGUAAAGCUCUAUCAGCAGGGAAGAAACUGACGGUACCUGAGUACGAAGCCCCGGCUAACUACGUGCCAGCAGCCGCGGUAAUACGUAGGGGACAAGCGUUAUCCGGAUUUACUGGGUGUAAAGGGGGCGUAGACGGCAGUGCAAGUCUGGAGUGAAAGGCGGGGGCUCAACCCCCGGACUGCCCUGGAAACUGGAUGGCUGGAGUGCAGGAGAGGUAAGUGGAAUUCCUAGUGUAGCGGUGAAAUGCGUAGAUAUUAGGAGGAACACCAGUGGCGAAGGCGGCUUACUGGACGGUAACUGACGUUGAGGCUCGAAAGCGUGGGGAGCAAACAGGAUUAGAUACCCGAGUAGUC
rnacentral:rRNA from 1 species